GAUGAACGCUAGCGGGAGGCUUAACACAUGCAAGUCGAGGGGCAGCAUAGAGUAGCAAUACUUUGAUGGCGACCGGCGCACGGGUGAGUAACGCGUAUGUAACCUACCCUGUACAGGGGGAUAGCCCGGAGAAAUUCGGAUUAAUACCCCAUAAUGAUAUCGAGAGGCAUCUUUUGAUAUUUAAAGCUUCGGCGGUACGGGAUGGGCAUGCGUGACAUUAGCUAGUUGGUAAGGUAACGGCUUACCAAGGCUGCGAUGUCUAGGGGUCCUGAGAGGGUGAUCCCCCGCACUGGUACUGGGACACGGACCAUACUCCUACGGGAGGCAGCAGUGAGGAAUAUUGGUCAAUGGGCGUAAGCCUGAACCAGCCAUCCCGCGUGAAGGAAGAAGGCGCUAUGCGUCGUAAACUUCUUUUCCAGAGGAAUAAAAUUUUGUACGCGUACAGAACUGAAGGUACUCUGGGAAUAAGCAUCGGCUAACUCCGUGCCAGCAGCCGCGGUAAGAC
rnacentral:rRNA from 1 species